UUUCAAUGAUGCAGGAGAAGACGGAUAUGUUGAUGCGCGAUUAAUGGAAACUAAGAAACUCGAUGAAAAAAGUGGCCUCAUUGUUCAAGGAGUGGAGUUUCGUCCCGAAUGAAGAAGAGAAGAAUCCUCCUCUUACUAUCCCCUUUUGUUUUGGUCUCAUUUUGAUAGAUUCAAGUACUUCUAUAUAUAUAUGGCCCUUCUAGAGGAACGUACUGAUAGAGAAAAUAAAAUUUGAUUAGACAAUGUGUGUUUGUAGUAAGGUCGAUUUUUUAAACAUUUUAAUAUGAGUCUACAAGAUUUAGUUUCGUUCAAGUGUCGAGCUUAUUUGCAUCGACAUCUAGCUAGUUUAACAAAAUUCAUGUACUUUGGUUAUUUGUGUUUGUGUUCGAUCCUUGGUUAAAAUGACGCACUGGAAUUUUUUUACAGUCCAAAAGUGGCGCUACAUUUUUGUUUUAGAAGAGAACAUAAUAACAUUAUGAGUAUCUAUUUCUUCCCAAGUAACUUAAAACAAAUCAAAGCUUAAAUACUAUGAUCUUUAAUUUCCAUCUCAAAUUAUAUCUCAUGAUUUUUUAAAAAUAACUAUCUCAAGUUUUUUGUCAUUUUAGGAGUUCAAGAUAAAAUUAAUUAUUAUUUUCAUAUAUACAUAAGCAGAGAAAAUAUUUAAUUUAAAGAGAUUAUAUAAAUAAGUAGAGAAAUUUUAUCUGAUGCCGUAGGCUGGCAAUUAACCUCUAUAUUAUACAUGGGAGGGUGCCCGCCUAGUGUCAUUGUGCAUGUAUUAGAUCUCGCACAAGUAAUGUCAUAUUUUAUGACUUGAAAUAGGAAGAUGAUAAGAAGUUCUCAUAAAGACUAUGAAUAGUCUUUACGAUGCUUUUAUGAGUUUUAGAGGUGAAGAUAUGCGUAGAACAAUAGUUUUUAGAUUCAAACGAUAAGAACUUUGACUAACAUUUACGAUGUAUUUUUUAUCAUAUUGAUAUGCAAAAAAUUGCAAUUUAUAGUACUUUUCGUAUAGUUUUUGAAUAUCUAAAUUUUUAGUUUAAAAUAUUGAAUUAAUAUUGUAAUGACCCUCCUGGUCAUUUCUAUAUCUUGCCUUUUGUGUGUCGUUCAGAGCGUUCCUGUAGCGACCCCAAGUCAUUUAUGACUUGCUGGGACUGACAGUUCGGUCACCUGGUCGUUCGUUUGGUUAUGGUGUGAGUUUUCGUGUUUUGGAGCUUAUGAACCUUGAACGAUCAUUUUCGAUCAAAAGUUUGAGAAGAUGACACUGGAAUCCAAUUCUGACGAUUCCAUCAGCUCCGGAAGGGUCAUUUUAGGCGAGUAGCAUGGUCGACAUGACUCUCGAGGUUUUCAGUGUGAGUCGGUGCGAUUAGGCGUUUUAACUUUAAGUUUAAGCCUAAGUUUGACUUUGGUCAACAUUCUGAGUAAACGCGCUCGGAUGAGAAUUCCGUCAGCGUGGUUAGCUCCGGAAUGUCGAGUUUGGUCUGGGGACUCCAAAUCACUAUCCGAGCUCACCAACACGUUGUCCUCGAAAAAUCUCACAACUUAGCCUUUUGGAUCGCCCAAAUCGGUUGAGAGAUGAGAGAAUUAUGAGGGUUUGAAAUUUGGGAAAUGUUGCUGAUUUUCUGCAAUUUAUUGCAGAAAAUCAGCCACAUUUCCCAAACUUCAAACCCUCACAACUCUCUCAUUUAAAGUCCAAAUUCAGUGAUUCAAAGGAUCAUUUUGUGAGGUUUUUCGCAAGGAACGUGUUGGUGAGCUCGGAUAGUGAUUUGGGGUCCCAGUUUGAGGUAAUUUUCGUAAAAUACCUGCUGCCACGACCUUUUUUAUGAGCUUAAUUUUGGAAAAUUUUGAGACUUGUUUUCUUAGCCAUUCUAGGUCCGAUUUCAAUGAUUUUUGAGGCUAUCUUGAGUGGUUUUUUGAGGAGAACGUCGUGGUGUUGUCACAUUUCACUGUAGACCUCCAGUUUCUGGUAAUAUACUGAUUCAUCUACUGUCUCAUUUCUAGUUUUUGAGAAAAUUUGGGUUUUGGUUGCAUGUUGAUAUUGUGUUGUUCCCGAGUCCCGAAUUGUGUCCCAUUUUGGGACAUGAGCUGGGGGAACUGGUUAGGACCCACUUUUGGGGUUAAUUCCGGAAUUUCCAGUGCGGGUCCCACUUUCCCCGUUUUGACCCUGAAAUUGGUCCGUCUCCAUUUAUUGUGAUUUCAGUGUCUAAAUGACCGUAAUAAUGUUGUGACACUAUUUUUGAUAGCGGGGCAGCGUUACAUGGACGUUCGAAAAGGGAAAGCUCCAGAGAAGUGAUUUUGGAGAACGUAUGAUCGACCUACAGGUAGGCUACGGUUUCCCUUUCUUAGAUUGAGCUUGAGAGUGUGAAUGCAUGUUGAUUAGUUGGGAUUUGGGUUGGUAGUGAUUGAAUCAUGCAUAGGUGUUUAGAAAUCAUGUUUUCGGCCUAUUUUGGGAAUUAUUGGAUAGCUGUGAGCAUGCUUUGUGUUAUUAAUUGUCUCUCUUUUCUAUGUGGAGUACUUGUAUGCUCGAUGACUAUUUGUUGAAGCAUUUGGGCCGUAGUUUAGGUUUGACUAGGGUUUGCCUUAGAAAUACAUGAUUCAGAUCCGAUAAGCCUUAGUUUUGCCCCGACGCCACUCGAUCGACUUAGAUCCCUGUAGACUGGUGUAGUAGACUUGAGUCUGAUAGUUUGGGCAUUAGCUAGGCGAUACGUUUGCUCCGAUGAUAGUUAUCCUUAUUUCCCCGAUGUUACAGCUUCAAGAGUUACGUCGGUGACACUAGUUCUGCUUAGCGAUUUGAAUUUGAUUUUCGAUUCGAUUUCCAAGGACUUACAUUGAUUGGCUAGGUGUGGACAGCGAUCCACGGACAUUUAUGAGAAUAGAUCGAUUGGGACUCUUUCAGCAACUACAUUGGCACCUCUAUAAAGCAUCCGGUUAAAGUUCCGGCCUCUAUUGCCCAGAUACUUAUAUAUAGCAUCCGGUUAGAGUUCUGGCCUCUAUUGCCCAGAUACUUAUAUAGAGCAUCCGGUUAUAGUUCCGGCCUCAGAUACUUGAUACUUGUGAUUAGUUAGUUGGGUACUUCUGGUGAGCAUCCGGUUCGAGGUCCGGCCUCCGUACUGUUAUAUUUUACUAAUUAGGGUUGAGGUUCUGCUUCGAUGUUCUCCGUUCUUGGGUUCUUAUAUGCAAUUCCCUUUAGUUAUAGUUGUUCUGUGUACUCGUCGGGCUUAUGGGGGUCCGUUCGGGUUUUUAUUUAACUUGCGCACGAGUGUACCUUCUGGGCUUAUGGGGGUCCAGUUAGGAUAGUUAGCUUAUAUAUUACUUUAGUUAGUUCUUUCUACACUCGUGUGCAUUCCAAUUUUAGUUAGAUUUCCGUUCUUGACCUCUGUUUGUGUUAUUCCUUCUUUUCAUACUGUCUUUACUUUUCAAGUUCAGUCGGCCUAUGAUGCCUACUGGGUACCUGUUGUUUUGGUACUCAUGCUACGCUCUGCAUCUGUUUUGUGAUGCAGGUUCGGGCACUAGUAGCCAGCGUUGAUCGAGCUUAGAGCAGACUGAUCCGGAGACGGGAGUGAGCACACGGUCGUUUUGUACUAUUUCAGUCUCUAUCUGUAUAUAUAGACUUGUCUUUUACCUUCCGAGACAGUCCAAUCUCUGUUGUCCACUUUUGGGACUUGUACUCAUUUUGUAGUAGCUCUGUACUGUGACUUCCAGGUUCUGGAGGUAAUCUUUAUUUGUAUAUAUGUUUUGGUUUGCUUCUGCCUGUUUAUAUUGUUAUUUGCCUACUCUUGUUUAGUUUCUACCCUCAGACCCAUUACUUGUUGUUCCGGGUUACGGGCUGGCUUACCUGCUGGUGGGUUAUAGUAGGUGCCAUCAUGACUUGAGAAAUCAGGUCGUGACAAAUAUAAUCUAAUUUAACUUUGAAAAUUAGUCAAAUUAACUUUCGAAAAACGUAAUAUUACAACGAAAAAGGAACGGAGGGAGUAUCAAACAUAUGGUAUUACUUAAUUGUGCGAGAUCUAAUAUACGACGACGUACACUUAGAGGUCGUUUGAUAGGGUGUAUAAAAGUAAUGUUAAAUAGAGUGUAUUAGUUAUGCUUGUAUGCACUAUACAUAAAUUAUUUUUUAUUCAUUGUUUGGUUUGGUGUACAAAAAAUAACAUGAAUUGCAUAAAAAAUAUUUAUUUAUAAAAAUAUCCUCCACAAUUAGGAUGGAAAAGAUGUAAAAAGGAGUUUUGAGGGGUAAUUGAGUUUUUAACCAUACUAAUGCAUGUAUUGAAUCUCUUUGUGUUACUAAUACCUAAAAAUCAAUGAUAUUAGUAAUACAUUCUUUCAUACACAAUAAAGUGUAUAACUAAUGCGUGCAGAUAAGAUACUACUAAUACACAAAGUUAAUGCGUGCAUUAUUUUUGCUAAUACACUUUGCCGACACCACAAGACUUUUGUUGGCUAAGUCAAAAGUCUUCUUAGCUGUAUUUUGUACGACCUCAUUAAUGUAGGUUACAUUUUCAUGACUUUGAAAUUGAAACAUGAUAAGAACAUAAAGACUAUGAAUAAAUAGUGAAAAGAAUUGGUGAAGUGUUGUUCUUCAUUAAGUUGAGAAUUUCCCUAUUAGUUUUUGGCAAUUGUAUAACUAAUAUUCUUCAACAAUGUCACACACUUCUUCUUCCAAAAUUCAAAAGUACGAUGCUUUUCUGAGUUUUAGAGGUGUAGAUAUACGUAGAACAUUUGUGAGUCAUCUCUAUAACGCUUUAAUACAAGGAAGAAUUAAUGUUUUCAAAGACGAUGAACGUCUGGAAACUGGAAAAUCAAUUUCUGAUGAACUACCAAAAGCCAUAGAAGAGUCUAAAUUUGCUAUAGUGAUAUUUUCUGAAAGUUAUGCAUCGUCAAAAUGGUGUUUAGACGAGCUUGCACACAUCAUAAAGUGUCGAAAGGAAUUCGACCUAAUCGUAAUUCCUAUUUUCUAUAAUGUGGAUCCAUCAGAUGUGCGUCAUCAAACUCAAACUUUUGCUGAGUCUUUUUCCAAACAUGAGGAAAAAUAUAAAGAUGACAUGGAGAAAAUUCAAAGAUGGAGGGAUGCUUUUGCGGAAUCUGGGAAAAUAUCGGGGUACCAUUUGCAAAAUUACAGGUAAGAUUACUUUUCCUUUUCUUAUUACUCUCUGACAGUUCCAAUUUAAGUCUCUUAAUUUGACUGGAAAUGAAGUUAAAGAAAAUAAAGAGAUUUUUUUAUCUUAAACAAAGAAUAUAGAAAAAAGGCACUCUCUUGUGGACAAAUCAAAAAGGAAAGUAAAGACACUUAGCUUCCAUAUGGACAUGAAAUCCCAAAUUAUAUAUUAUUUCUUUUAGAAAAUUUGAAAUUUCAUAUCAUGAAUCAAAAUUGCAUGUGCAAACACAAAUUUGAAAUAAUGAUUUCAUAUCAAAUAUCCAUAUAUAAGCAUAAACUGAGUCAAAGGGAGUAGUAUUUUUUUAGCUUUGCCCUCAUGGGUAAUUCAAGAAACAUAGUGUCUUUAUGGUUGUGCAAGAAUAAUUAUAAGCAAUAAAAUAAGGCAUAGAAUAUAAUAAAAGAGAGCAUACACUAGGGUGCGAACUCUAAUCUUAUAUUCUCAUUGUUUCAAUUUAUGUGACAAAUUUUCUUUUUAGUUCAUUCAAUAAAAAGAAUAUUACAUUUCUAUAAUCAUAUUAGAUUAGAAAUAAGGAUAUUCGUAAUAAAAGAGAGUGACCUCCAUGGAGGACAAGAUGAAGGAAGCAAGACCGAGAUGGUUUGGACAUGCAUAUGAAAAGGAGAUGCACAGAUGCACCAGUGAGGAAGUGCAAGAGGUUGGUUAUACAAGGUACGAGGAGAGGCAGAAAUAGGCCAAAAAAGUAUUGAAGAGAGGUGAUAAGAUAGGAUAUGACCCAUCUUCAGGUUACUGAGGACAUAACCCUAGACAGUGGCGGAUCCAGGAUUUAGACUCCGUGGGUGCCAAAUAGACUUAUCGAUUAAAUUAAUUUUAUAUUUGAUUAAAUUAUUCGUCUUUUCGAUAUAAAUUAAUUUUAGUUCUCUAAUUUUUCUUAAAAGAACGUGUGCAACAAUUUCCUUUUUCUUAAAAAAACGUCUUUCUCAAAAAAAGGUACAAAUGGGAUUCGAACCCGCAACAUCAGCCUUCUAAAGUUGCCCUCCUACCGUGGCACCACAAGCCAAUUUUGUUCUGUGGGUGGCACGCUUUAUAUAAAUAUAAAUAUUAUAUAAAUAUACCUAUGUAUAUAUAGAGUUUCCGUCGAAGUUCGGGGGUGGCGUGGCACCCCCACACUCCUUAAUAGAUCUGCCUCUGACCCUAGAUAAGAGGAUGUGGAGGACACGUAACUCAUAAGUGCAAUAUGAAAGUAUAUAAACAGAGAAAGUACUGCAACAUUACACAAUAGUGUUGGGUUCAUAACAGUUGGUGUUUGUCAUUGUCAUUAUACUAGUAUUAAUUAUUGUAGUUCUUGUUUUUGUUAUUUUGAUUAAUAUCGCACUAUUUUGUUGUUACUUGUUAUAUUUUCAUCAUUGUCUCUGUUUUCUUUGUAUCUGCAUUUGUUGCACUUGAGCCAAACAUCUAUUGAAAAUAGCAUCUCUAUUUCCACGAGGUAGUGGUAAGGACUAUGUACAUUCUACCCUUCCCAAACGCCACUUGUGGGAUUUCACCGCGUAUGUUGUUGUUGUUAACUUUAAAAUUUCUCUUUUACCCUUAAAUAAUAUGAUUUACAAUCACAUAAAUGUUUAAGGUUCGUUUAAAACCACAAAUUUCACUAGGUAUUUUCUUUCUUUAACUUUGUUUCAUGUCAAACAAUGUCACAUAAUAAAUUGAGACGAAGAGAGUAUUUGAUUUCUAAUGUUUGAACUAUUUUCAUUGUUAACAUUUAGGGAUGAGGCAGAUUGCAUCAAAAAGGUUGUUGACAAAUUAAUGUCAUUAUUACAUAUUGAAUCUGAUGACCAUUACAACGACGAUGUUUUAAAGGGCCCUAAAUCUCCAAUUCUUAUUGAUGGAGGCAAAAUGGUAUUGUUUCUUUUAUAAUUUGAAUCCUUUUAGUGAAAUUCGAUAUAUAUAAUUUAUUUUGUUAUUUUCGUGAAUAUUAGAAUUGAUUUGUCAUUUAUUCGAUAUGUUUUCUAGUUUCUGAUGUUUCAUGUUUGUGAUUUGAUCUGUCGAAUAGAGUUUUUCGCUGGAUAAAAAGACGGGGAAGAAAUGUUUUAUGGUAGCAGCAAGGGGACUUGAAAUUGAAUGGGGUGGUACACCAGAGUAUUGGGAAUGGUUAUCUCAUGUGGACUCAAGGUUUUAUAUAUUUGUGAUUCCUUUUUAUUACUAGAAUAAAUUUUGAAAGGAUCUGAACUAUUACUACAUGCCUAUAAUUAUUGAGCAAUGUGAAUUUUUUUUUUAGUUUCGCGGAAGUGGCUAAACUCAAGAGGGUUUGUUGGCUUGAUAUUCGAGGCAAAAUUGAAACUCGAAGACUGUCGAAAAGAACCAAAUAUGUUGUUUAUCUAGUGUUCAAAUUGGAAAAUAAAUGGCAUGGCCUUGAAACUGCUAAUGCAGUCGUUAGAUUUGUUGAUUCUGUGAGUGACAUUGACGCAGAGCAACGAGCUAGUGUUGUACAUUUUGCAGGACAAGGACCUAAAGAGACGCUACCCUUUAGAAGAGGUGAUGGAUGGAUGGAAUUAAAAAUGGGAGAUUUUUUCAAUGAUGCAGGAGAAGACGGAGAUGUAGAUGCACGAUUAAUGGAGACUAAACAUCUCGGUGAUAAAAGUGGCCUCAUUGUUCAAGGAAUGGAGUUUCGUCCCGAAUGAAGAAGAGAAGAAUCCUUCUCUUACUAUGACCUUUUGUUCAAUUAGUACUUUUAUAUAUGGCCUUUCUAAAGGAACGUAUUGAUCGAGAUGAUUGAAUUUGAUUAGAAAAUGCGCGUAAGUGGAAGAAGAAAGCUGAGGAGGCAGUUGCAGAACGCGGUUCGUCAGACAAAAAUAUGAAAGCAUUUGUGGAUGAACUGAAAAAAAUCCAUGCCAAGAAACAAGUAGAAAAUGUCUAGUUUUGUUUAACUACAUUCAUUUCAAGUGUAUAAUUCAAUCUAUGGGAUGUAAAUCGAGUAUGUUGUUGUUGUUUUUCUGCUUUCUAUAGCACGUUUCUACUAUUUGUUUAUAUAGCAUGUGAACUCUAACAAAUGGAAAGUGC
rnacentral:lncRNA from 1 species